UACGGGGGGAGCAAGCGUUGUUCGGAUUUACUGGGCGUAAAGGGCGCGUAGGCGGCCAGCACAAGUCAGUUGUGAAAUCUCCGGGCUUAACUCGGAAAGGUCAACUGAUACUGUGCGGCUAGAGUGCAGAAGGGGCAACUGGAAUUCCCAGUGUAGCGGUGAAAUGCGUAGAUAUUGGGAAGAACACCUGAGGCGAAGGCGGGUUGCUGGGCUGAUACUGACGCUGAGGCGCGAAAGCCAGGGGAGCAAACGGG
rnacentral:rRNA from 1 species